GGCUAACGCUGGCGGCGUGUCUUAGCCAUGCAAGUCGAGCGGACUUAUGGGGUAACUUAUAAGUCAGCGGCGGACGGCGGAGUAACACGUAGCUAACCUACCCUCUGGACGGGGAUAACCUACCGAAAGGUGGGCUAAUACCCGAUGUAGUCAUCCUGUAUAGGGGUGAUGAAAGGUGGGCUUCUGUUUACAAGCUCAUGCUGGAGGAGGGGGCUGCGGCCUAUCAGGUAGUUGGUAGGGUAAUAGCCUACCAAGCCGAUGACGGGUAGCCGGCCUGAGAGGGUGACCGGCCCCGAGGGGCACUGAGAUACGGGUCCCACUCCUACGGGAGGCAGCAGGCUAGAAAUUUGGGCAAUGGGGGAAACCCUGACCCAGUGACGCCGCGUGCAGGAAGGAGCCCUUCGGGGUGUAAACUGCUGUCGUGUAGGGAGAAGGGUACUAAGGUGAACAAUCUUAGUACUUGACGGUACUACAGGAGGAAGCCCAGGCUAACCUCGUG
rnacentral:rRNA from 1 species